AUUAGAGUUUGAUCCUGGCUCAGGAUGAACGCUGGCGGCGUGCCUAAUACAUGCAAGUCGAGCGAAUGGAUUAAGAGCUUGCUCUUAUGAAGUUAGCGGCGGACGGGUGAGUAACACGUGGGUAACCUGCCCAUAAGACUGGGAUAACUCCGGGAAACCGGGGCUAAUACCGGAUAAUAUUUUGAACUGCAUGGUUCGAAAUUGAAAGGCGGCUUCGGCUGUCACUUAUGGAUGGACCCGCGUCGCAUUAGCUAGUUGGUGAGGUAACGGCUCACCAAGGCAACGAUGCGUAGCCGACCUGAGAGGGUGAUCGGCCACACUGGGACUGAGACACGGCCCAGACUCCUACGGGAGGCAGCAGUAGGGAAUCUUCCGCAAUGGACGAAAGUCUGACGGAGCAACGCCGCGUGAGUGAUGAAGGCUUUCGGGUCGUAAAACUCUGUUGUUAGGGAAGAACAAGUGCUAGUUGAAUAAGCUGGCACCUUGACGGUACCUAACCAGAAAGCCACGGCUAACUACGUGCCAGCAGCCGCGGUAAUACGUAGGUGGCAAGCGUUAUCCGGAAUUAUUGGGCGUAAAGCGCGCGCAGGUGGUUUCUUAAGUCUGAUGUGAAAGCCCACGGCUCAACCGUGGAGGGUCAUUGGAAACUGGGAGACUUGAGUGCAGAAGAGGAAAGUGGAAUUCCAUGUGUAGCGGUGAAAUGCGUAGAGAUAUGGAGGAACACCAGUGGCGAAAGCGACUUUCUGGUCUGUAACUGACACUGAGGCGCGAAAGCGUGGGGAGCAAACAGGAUUAGAUACCCUGGUAGUCCACGCCGUAAACGAUGAGUGCUAAGUGUUAGAGGGUUUCCGCCCUUUAGUGCUGAAGUUAACGCAUUAAGCACUCCGCCUGGGGAGUACGGCCGCAAGGCUGAAACUCAAAGGAAUUGACGGGGGCCCGCACAAGCGGUGGUGCAUGUGGUUUAAUUCGAAGCAACGCGAAGAACCUUACCAGGUCUUGACAUCCUCUGAAAACCCUAGAGAUAGGGCUUCUCCUUCGGGAGCAGAGUGACAGGUGGUGCAUGGUUGUCGUCAGCUCGUGUCGUGAGAUGUUGGGUUAAGUCCCGCAACGAGCGCAACCCUGAUCUUAGUUGCCAUCAUUAAGUUGGGCACUCUAAGGUGACUGCCGGUGACAAACCGGAGGAAGGUGGGGAUGACGUCAAAUCAUCAUGCCCCUUAUGACCUGGGCUACACACGUGCUACAAUGGACGGUACAAAGAGCUGCAAGACCGCGAGGUGGAGCUAAUCUCAUAAAACCGUUCUCAGUUCGGAUUGUAGGCUGCAACUCGCCUACAUGAAGCUGGAAUCGCUAGUAAUCGCGGAUCAGCAUGCCGCGGUGGAUACGUUCCCGGGCCUUGUACACACCGCCCGUCACACCACGAGAGUUUGUAACACCCGAAGUCGGUGGGGUAACCUUUUUGGAGCCAGCCGCCUAAGGUGGGACAGAUGAUUGGGGUGAAGUCGUAACAAGGUAACCGUAAAU
rnacentral:rRNA from 2 species